GCGGGUGUGAUGUAAUGGUAGCCUGAUUGGUUUCAGCCAGUUUGUGCCGGUUCGAUUCCGGUCACCUGCU
rnacentral:tRNA from 1 species